UACGGGGGGGGCAAGCGUUGUUCGGAAUUACUGGGCGUAAAGGGCUCGUAGGCGGCCAACUAAGUCGGAUGUGAAAUCCCCAGGCUCAACUUGGGAACUGCAUCCGAUACUGGAUGGCUUGAAUUCGGGAGAGGGAUGCAGAAUUCCAGGUGUAGCGGUGAAAUGCGUAGAUAUCAGGAGGAACACCGGUGGCGAAGGCGGUUCUCUGGGCAUUACCUGACGCUGAGGAGCGAAAGCGUGGGGAGCAAACAGG
rnacentral:rRNA from 1 species